rnacentral:rRNA from 1 species
AGCGAACGCUGGCGGCGUGCCUAACACAUGCCAGUCGAACGUGAAAAGGGAAACCUGAGUAAAGUGGCGUACGGGUGAGUAACGCGUAGGUAAUCUACCCCAGAAUCUGGAAUAACCUGCCGAAAGGCGGGCUAAUACUGGAUAGAGCGAGGGAACUCGUAAGAGAGUUUUUCGGGAAAGGGAGCCCGCAAGGGCCUUCGUUCUGGGAUGAGCCUGCGUCUCAUUAGCUAGUUGGUAAGGUAACGGCUUACCAAGGCGAUGAUGAGUAGCUGGUCUGAGAGGAUGAUCAGCCACACUGGAACUGAAACACGGUCCAGACUCCUACGGGAGGCAGCAGUGGGGAAUCUUGCGCAAUGGACGAAAGUCUGACGCAGCCACGCCGCGUGAGUGAAGAAGGCCUUCGGGUUGUAAAGCUCUGUCGGAUGGGACGAACAUCUUCAUAGUGAAUAGCUAUGAGGACUGACGGUACCAUCAGAGGAAGCACCGGCUAACUCCGUG